rnacentral:lncRNA from 1 species
GUUCAAUGAGCUUUCACAUAGGAAACAUAUCCAGACCAAGAAUAGAAUAUUUCCAGGUCCUCAGAAGGCUCCCCCAUGCCCCUUCACAGUUAUACUUCCCCAAGGCUACAACUAUUCUGACCUGUAUCACCACAGGUUACUUCAGAACUUUCUAGUUAUUUAAUGCUAUUUAGGUCAACUUUUAAUGCUAUAUUAGGUCAAGUUUCAAGAAAAAGUUUUAGUUGGAAAUUCUUCUUAUUUUGGGAGGAUGCAUUGAAGGCAUAAUUUUAGCCACUUUAAAUUUUGUGAGGAGAAUGUCUCUAAAACCAUAUUAUCCAUAAGAAAGAUCAUCAAUAAAGAAGAUAGAGUUGUGAAAAAAGAAUAAAAUGAAGAGAAAAAUCGGCUGCCCCAAGUAUCUUGCUUUUCUGUGCACCACAAGUGAAAAUCAUCUCUUUAGGAUGGUAAAUGUAGUAUACUGACCACAAGAGUUCAAAACAAAUUCAGAUUUUGGAUAAACUUCAGAUUUAUUCAAGAAUCCCAGAAGUCCAUUCGAUGAUGGCAAUGUUCUGUUUUCAGGUAACAUUUGUUUUUACACUCAGUCGUUUGGCUGUUGUGACCAACUCAUCCACUUAUUGGCCCUCAUUCUGUUAGAACUGUUUAAUGAUCUGCUCUCCUUUCCUUUAAUCAUCCUUUCCUUACUUUCUCUCCUCAUCAUCUCAGACAACCUGGCUGCCCUCCCAGGACUCUGCCUGCGGGCUUGUCCUCUAACCCACUCAUGAUCAUCACUCUGGCAGAAGGAAGUCUCUCGGGAGACCUUAGUGGGGGUAUUUGCCUUGGUCUGCGUGUUUUCCAAAGAUGGAUAUUGCUACUACUAGUUAUGAUCUAACACCUGUCAGUACUUGGGGCUGACAAGCGUUUCAUAGAUAGCAUUUCCACAUCUUUACCUGGAAUCCUAUUUGGCAGGUAGGAUUCCUCACAUUUUGCUGUAGAGAAACAGACAAGCCAAUUGUUCGAGGUCAUGUAGACGGGAGUCAGGAUUUACACCUGAUUCUGUCUGGCUCCAAAGCUUACUCUGACUCUGGUCAGUAGUAAAAAAGCACAGGAGUUGAUGGGGAGGGAUAGGUAGAGUGGAAUCCUCAGCAGGGUUGGGAAUGUCUUAUAAUGAAUUUGGGUUUGAAAUAGAACAGGCAUGGGACACAAUGCAGCUUGUUUGGGACUGAGAUAAAGGAAGAAAGAAGGGGAUGGUGCUGGUCAAGCAAUGUUGGAGAGACCAUCAGGACUGGCCAAUACCAAGCCAUACCUUCUCCAGCUCCAGUCCCCAGAACGAGAGAAAUGGUAUCUGUAGCCCAGGGGGACAGGGAAAUGGCAUUUUCGCAUCUCAACCCCUCAGGCCUGGGCAGACUGCCAGAGUGGAGAGCCAGGGUAGCAAUGAGGCAGGGGAGAUCAUUAUCAGGAGGAAGGAAGCUCUGGCAGCUCCCACCAGCCUGUUUGUGACAAGCAGGCUCAGGGCCACGGAAGUCCCUUAAGGUCAAAGGAAAUGUGAUCCUGGAUCUGGGGGAUGAAGCUCAGACACUCCCUUUACCUUAUGUCUUCAGGCCAAGGGGAUCUGGCCAGAGCCAGGUCCAGGGCCUAGGUUGGAAGAGCAGUGGUCUAGAGAAACGGGAGGGGCAGUUAGAGAGGAAGAGAGAGAAGGAAUAAAAUGCCAGAGCACCUCAUAAACAAUCUCUUGGCUAGAGAGGUAAUGACCUUUAUUGCAGCCAACACAGGGUAACUGGCUCUUCAGAGCACUCGUUUCUUCAUGAGUGAACUCUUACCUAGUUCACCGCUUGCCUCUGUAACAGUGACUUCUUUCUUGCGCAACUGGUAGAGUAGAAGGUACACUGUAUUUAGAGCAAGGAGACCUAGGUUCAAGUCCAGGUUCUGCUACUAACUAAUUAGACAAGCUCUUUAAUUCAUUAAGCUUUCUAAAACCUUAAUUUCCUCAUCCAUAAAGAAGGCAUACAAUCCCUGUCAAGUCUAUGUCACAAGGGAUUAGAGGAUUCUAUACAAAUAUGAAGUGGUAUUUAUUUAUAUUUUUCUUUCCUUCAGGUCACCUCACUGCCACGUCAGAGCUGGGGAAGACUUCUAGUUCAGGAACAGAAACAGCUGUGUCCACAAAUCCCAUAUGCCCCCUUUCCAUUUAUUUCCUCUCCUUGUCAUGCUGCCCUAAUGCCAGGGGGCAGGGGAGACAUGUGCAAUGGCAUAGACCAGGGAACCCACAGACCUGAGCUUGCUGUUUCUUGGGGAUAAGCAUCUGGGAAAACAGCAACAAAAAGAUGAAAAGCCAUCCCUCUAGAGCUCAGCUCACCAGAGUGUCAGCUUCAGCCUCCCAGCAGAGGCUGAACCAGGAACAGCCCCAAGAGAUGAGGGGAAGAGAAUGCUCUGGGUGUAGGGGAGUGGUGCGGAGUCCUGGAGAGGGAAUUGAAGGUCAGCCAAAGAGCAAGCCAGUCUGGAAACCUAAAGGACUCUGUCCAAGUGUACAGGAACCAGGUGGAAUUGCUGAGAGUCCUUUUUCUGGGGAGGCUUACAGGCCACUACGUAAGACUUGUUCUGUCAGAUCUCUGAGGGCCUCUUCUCACUCCUGAACUCCUUAAGAGCUGGCCCGGGCUACGCUGUGUCUGUUUGGGGGUGGGCUGGGAGCAUCACUGGAUCAGGAAAUGAAUCAGGUUCAUGCCUCUCCACUUACAUGUCCCAAAUACGUGGACACCUAAGGAUGCCUGUACCUGCCUAAACAUGUUCAGCAAUGAGGAAGCUUGAAUCGUCACAUUCGAAGACUGUAUUUGUUCCCUGGCCACAUGAUUUUAAUGACUCUUUAAUAGAGCACCUGACCCAGGUGUCAACUG